UCCCCCCACCCCAGCCCACCCCAGCCCAGCUUUGUUUGUUCAUUUUCACUCAGCCUAGGCCUCAUUUACCACAGGAUUUGCUCAGGAUCCUUCUGGAGUGCCUCAGAGUUGUUAAGUGACAAUCUAAAAGCCGAUUUCGGAUUAGCUAGCUUAACCAGGUGAACCGAGGGCUUCGCUUUGAUUGGAGAGGAACGCUGGAGCUGUGCUUGGAAGUCCAUAUUGUGAGAGUGGAGGGCUUUAUCAACAUCCUGAGAGGCGUGCAUUCAGAAUAGCUGCUGAUGAGAAUCUCCCUAAUCAGGGAAGGAUUAGCAAAGGCUCAAAGCUCUCCUACUUCUAAUUCCUUCUCCAUGACGCUGUUCAUGCACUGCAAAAUGGUCUAGUGCAAUACAAGAAGUAUAAAUAUUAGAUGAGGCUCUCUGCCGGCCUAAUUAGCACUUUCGAAGGGAGCUUGUCAUUGAGCAAUACGUAAUAAUCACUGCAGAAUCACACGGAAGGAGGGCCGGGUUUCGUUAGGGGAACGGAAAGCGACGAGGAAAGUGUGCAUGGAUUUAGAGGGCCAGUGGGGAAAAAAGAAGAUGGUGAAUGGACGAAUAUGGAUAUUCAUUUGAAAAAAUACAAAAUGUCAACUUGGUGGAAGCCUUUAUUUCAAGUCUUGGAAAGCAAGUCUUCUGUCAAGUCAGCAAAUACUUUAAAUGCCUGCUGUAUGCCACAUAUUCAAAUCCUGAGUGUAUUGUUACCCAGGCUCAGUCCUUGGAGAGAACAGCAGACUUAAAGUGGCUACCAACAAACAUUUCCCAGUUAAAUUCACUUCUAGGUAUGGUAUAGCCAAUGAAUUUCUCUUACUCAAAGGUCACACAAUGUCUUGUAUCGGUAAUUAAUCCAUCUUCUAGGUCAAGCAAGUUGGUUCCAAGUAUUGAUGAUCUGAUGAUUCUCCUGAUUAUUAAAGAUUAUAAGACCA
rnacentral:lncRNA from 1 species